CCCAGGAAAGAGAGAGAAGACCAACCAAGGGGUGGCUGGAGUCCCAAGGCCAUGAACUUUCAGGAAAAUGUGACCCUGGCCAUGGCCUUGUUCACCAUCCUGACCUCCAUCUAUUUCUUCAACAAGGCUCAGCAGUGAGAAGACACAGGACCUCCCCGCACAAGAGCCCUGCCUCUCCCUCUGCCAUCGCUCUGAGGCCAGAUAAAUGUAACUGAAUCCGCACAUCCUGCUCCGCCGACCCACUGCCCUUGCGCCCGGCCUCGGGCCUACACCACACCUGGGGCUCUGUGUUUCAGAAGGGAGUGGGGUGGGGGUCCGGACUCCAGGGUCUGAGGUAGGAGAGUGGUGAGGACCCACCCUCGCAGGUUUGAG
rnacentral:lncRNA from 1 species